rnacentral:rRNA from 1 species
AACGCGAAGAACCUUACCUGGGCUCGAAGCGCAGUGGACCGGGGUAGAAAUAUCCCUUCCUCGCAAGAGGCUGCUGCGGAGGUGCUGCAUGGCUGUCGUCAGCUCGUGUCGUGAGAUGUUGGGUUAAGUCCCGCAACGAGCGCAACCCUUAUCCCUAGUUGCCAUCGGGUCAAGCCGGGCACUCUAGUGAAACCGCCCAGGAUAACUGGGAGGAAGGUGGGGAUGACGUCAAGUCCUCAUGGCCUUUAUGUCCAGGGCUACACACGUGCUACAAUGGUCGGUACAAACCGUCGCAAACCCGCGAGGGGGAGCUAAUCGGAAAAAGCCGGCCUCAGUUCGGAUUGGAGUCUGCAACCCGACUCCAUGAAGCUGGAAUCGCUAGUAAUCGCGGAUCAGAACGCCGCGGUGAAUACGUUCCCGGGCCUUGUACACACCGGAGUA